GAUGAACGCUGGCGGCGUGCCUAAUACAUGCAAGUCGAGCGAACAGACGAGGAGCUUGCUCCUCUGACGUUAGCGGCGGACGGGUGAGUAACACGUGGAUAACCUACCUAUAAGUCUGGGAUAACUUUGGGAAACCGGAGCUAAUACCGGAUAAUAUAUUGAUCCGCAUGGUUCAAUAGUGAAAGACGGUUUUGCUGUCACUUAUAGAUGGAUCCGCGCCGCAUUAGCUAGUUGGUAAGGUAACGGCUUACCAAGGCGACGAUGCGUAGCCGACCUGAGAGGGUGAUCGGCCACACUGGAACUGAGACACGCUCCAGACUCCUACGGGAGGGAGCAGUAGGGAAUCUUCCGCAAUGGGCGAAAGCCUGACGGAGCAACGCCGCGUGAGUGAUGAAGGUCUUCGGAUCGUAAAACUCUGUUAUUAGGGAAGAACAAAUGUGUAAGUAACUAUGCACGUCUUGACGGUACCUAAUCAGAAAGCCCCGGCUAACUACGUG
rnacentral:rRNA from 1 species